rnacentral:lncRNA from 1 species
UCUCUCUCGCUCCCUAUUUUCUUAAUCCUUUUUUCUUUCUCUUUUUUCUUUUUUUUCUUCUUCCAUUGGGGAUAUGCAGCAUCGUACGCGCCGGUGCACCCGCCUGGGAAAAGAAUGACGCGGCCGGGAGAACGUCCUACGACGAAAACUGCGGUGUUCAAGUGGGUGAAAAUAAGAAAGAAAGAAAGAAAGAAAGAAAGAAAAAAAGAUAAAAGUUAUAUUACUAAUAAAGAAAGUUACAAGGAAGGGGACACACUAAUAUAAAAAAGAAAAUAUAAUAUGUAUACACACGCGUAUAAAUAGUCAGA